rnacentral:rRNA from 1 species
AUUGAACGCUGGCGGCAGGCCUAACACAUGCAAGUCGAACGGUAACAGGAAGCAGCUUGCUGCUUUGCUGACGAGUGGCGGACGGGUGAGUAAUGUCUGGGAAACUGCCCGAUGGAGGGGGAUAACUACUGGAAACGGUAGCUAAUACCGCAUAACGUCGCAAGACCAAAGAGGGGGACCUUAGGGCCUCUUGCCAUCGGAUGUGCCCAGAUGGGAUUAGCUAGUAGGUGGGGUAACGGCUCACCUAGGCGACGAUCCCUAGCUGGUCUGAGAGGAUGACCAGCCACACUGGAACUGAGACACGGUCCAGACUCCUACGGGAGGCAGCAGUGGGGAAUAUGGCACAAUGGGCGCAAGCCUGAUGCAGCCAUGCCGCGGGUAUGAAGAAGGCCUUCGGGUUGUAAAGUACUUUCAGCGGGGAGGAAGGGAGUAAAGUUAAUACCUUUGCUCAUUGACGUUACCCGCAGAAGAAGCACCGGCUAACUCCGU